rnacentral:rRNA from 1 species
AAAAACAUAUUUAAUAGAAAUUAUUAUUAAUAAAGCCUGCUCAAUGAUUUAUUCAAUAGCCGCAAUUCAUAUUGUGCUAAGGUAGCAUAAUCAUUUGUUUUUUAAUUAAAGACUAGAAUGAAUGGUUUAACAUUUAAAUUCUUCCUAUAAAUUUAAAUAAUCAAUUUAUUAUAAAUGUAAAAAAACAUUUAUUAAUAAGAAAGACGACAAGACCCUAUCGAACUUAACUUAAGUUAAACUGGGGCAGUUAAUUAAUUAUUAUUUUAAUAAUAUAUUAUCCAAAAAAGACCCAACAUAAGUUGAUUUAAUAACCAAGUUACCGUAGGGAUAACAGCGUAAUAAUAUUUAAUAGUUCUUAUAUAAAAUUUUGAUUACGACCUCGAUGUUGAAUUAAUCUUCUUAUAAAUGCACCCAUUUAUAAAUGAAAGUCUGUUCGACUUUUAAACAAUUACAUGAUCUG